UAUGAACUGCCACCGGGUAGUAAAAUGCGAUAAGCAUUCGUUCACACAUCGUUAGGUCUCAGAAGAUGUGUAUGCGAGUGCUUUAUUUUU
rnacentral:ncRNA from 1 species